rnacentral:misc_RNA from 1 species
AAGUCGUAACAAGGUUUCCGUAGGGUACGUACUCUCUCUCCUUCUUACCGCCUCGAAUUAUGCUAACGUUUUUAUAGUGAACCUGCGGAAGGAUCAUUAAAGAGUUAGGGUCUUACAGGCCCGACCUCCCAACCCUUUGUGUACUAAACCAUGUUGCUUCGGCGGAUCCGUCUCAAUUGACCGUCGGAGGAUCUUUCUGGUCUUCUGGCCCGCGUCCGCCGAUAGCCCACUUAGAACUCUUUUAAAUCAUGAAUCGAACCUGAGUAAUUACAAAAUUAAAAGCAAAACUUUCAACAACGGAUCUCUUGGUUCUG